AAAAAGAACUGAAGACCUUAUUUUGUUUGGGGUUGCACUUGCACAGGGAAAGCAAAAUAUCUAAUCUUUCUCCCUUGCCCCAGGGGAACAGUAACGUGACAGAGUAGCGAGUUUAGGGUUUGUGGCAAUGGCGGAGGAUUACGCCCCCCUCAAGCGCAAGUACGAAGACCAACCCUCCGGCAUCGAGCUCGCCAAGCAGCGUGCUAAUGGCAGGGUUGGUGUGAUUGUUGGUAAAGGUGGAGAGACCAUUAAGUAUCUCCAGUUGCAGUCUGGUGCCAAAAUUCAAAUUACUCGUGAUAUCGAUGCGGACCCUAAUUCUUCCACUAGGAUGGUUGAGCUUAUGGGCACUCCUGAUGCGAUUGCCUGUCUGCUGAGAAACUCAUCAAUGAAGUUCUUGCUGAGGCUGAAUCUGGGGGUUCUGGCAUUGUUACUCGAAGACUGACCGGACAAGCUGGGUCGGAUGAAUUUGUCAUGAAAAUCCCAAAUAAUAAGGUUGGCCUUAUAAUUGGUAAAGGUGGAGAAACGAUAAAGAAUAUGCAAGCUUCUACUGGAGCACGGAUUCAGGUGAUACUUCUGCAUCUUCCCCUGGGUGACACAUCUACUGAAAGAACAUUAAAAAUUGAUGGUACUCCUGAGCAAAUUGAGCCUGCAAAGCAGUUAGUUUAUUAAGUCAUUAGUGGUGAGAAUCGUGUUAUAAAUCCUGCAAUGUCUGGUGGUUAUCCUCAACAAGGUUACGAAUCUCGACCACCCUCUGACUGGGCUCCCCCUGCUCCAAUGCAGCAAGCUGGUUAUGGCUAUGUGCAACCUGGAGCAUACUCUGGUCCAUCACCCCAGUAUAACAUGCCUCAGCAACCAUAUGCAGGCUAUCCUGCCCAGCAACCUGGUGGAUAUUCCACCAAUUGGGACCAGUCUACUGCACCACCCCCACCAGCAGUCUACUCAUGGUGGUGGUUAUGAUUACUAUAGUCAACAGCCACAGCAACCACAAAAUCCUGGGGGUACUGCACCUCCAGCCGAUGGCUCUGCAUACAAUUACAGUCAGCCACCUUCCUCUGGUUGUAACCAAUCAGGACAGCAGGGUUCUGCACAGGACAGCUAUGAUGCAUAUAAUGCGCAAUCACACUCAGGGUAUGGGCAGCCACCGACAUUUGAUCAGCAGCAAGGCUAUGGCCCAGCUACUGGCUAUGGCAGUGGGAGUAACCCGGCGCAGGAGGGCCACACUGCAAACUAUGCAGCACGGGGAGAUUCAGCCCAAGCUCCUUCUGCCCAACCGACUACUGUUGUGCAGCAAGGUUAUCCUACCAAUCAACAGCCCAGUUCAAACACUGUCAAUUACUCACUUCAAGGAACUCCUCAGCCAGGUUAUGGGGUUCCCCCUACAUCCCAAGCAGCUUAUGGCAAUCAACCACAGCCUGGUUAUGGAACCCCUCAAUCUCAAAAGCCGACUGGCAAUUCACCUGUUUAUGGAGAGUCACAGUUUCCUAGUGCUGGAGGAGGCUAUGAUCAGUCAGCAUAUCCUGUGCAGCCCCCUCCUUCUGGGUAUGCUCAACCAGAGUCAGGUUCUCAGAGAGCACCAGCAUCUGGUUAUGGUGGUGCAGUGCAACCAGGGUACGGUCAUCAAACAUAUGGUGCUCCUCAGGGUGGCCAGCCUGGUUAUGGUCAGGCACCGCCUUCUUACAGCAACAGUUCUUUUGGUGCUGGUUAUACACACACUCUGGCAUAUACUGGUGAUGGUGAUGGUAAUGCUCAGGCACCCCAUAGUGCUGUUGCUAAAGCAUCACCCAAGAGUUGAUAUUUUUGCCACCCUUCCCCUCCCCUUCUCAUUGACUAUUUUUAUUGUCUUUCACCGUUUAUUGUACUAGUGACAACUAUGUAGCAUUGCACUAUUUAGAUGGAAGAAUUGGUGUAUUGAAUUUUUUUACUUUUUGAAUAUCUUGGUACUGUUAAAUAGAAACACAUUUUGGAGGCAACUUUGGGAAGCUUAUUUGAACUUAUGACAAUAAUUUAAAAUUUUCAUUA